CCCUUUGUGGUGUAGUUGGUAUCACACUGGACUGUAAUAGACGUUUCAGAUCAUCCAUUGGUCACCGGUUCGACUCCGGUCGAAGGGA